rnacentral:sRNA from 1 species
GGUGUGAGAGCCCAGCCUGUUCCCCUUUUUGCGCCCAUCCCCGGCUCGGCCGCCACCCCGCCCGCCCGCCCCAUUCCGUUCCCCUGAGCUGGCCGGGCCGGAGCCUCAUUUUGUUUUCUACUUUUUUCUCUCCUAUGUGCAUCCCCCCAGGAGCUGGCUAAAUAUGAAUACAUGGAAGAACAAGUAAUCUUAACUGAAAAAGAUCUGCUAGAAGAUGGUUUUGGAGAGCACCCCUUUUACCACUGCCUGGUUGCAGAAGUGCCGAAAGAGCACUGGACUCCGGAAGGUAACCCCUCGCCCUUUCCAGAAGCCAGAGAGACCAAGUGUUAUGUAAGAAGUAGUGUCGGCUGUGUAGAACCACUGACUACACAGGCCGAAGUUACUGAGAACUUGGACAGAAAAAAUAGCCAGCAAGUGUUCAAACUACUGAGG